AAAACUUGUGUUUCAAGAACAGGAAACAUAGGCACCCAAUGCCACCCGCACUGUGGUAAAUACCAAGGGAAGUGCAAUAAAGCAACAGGUCGGUGUGAGUGUUGUCGUGGAUGGACUGGACCUCAUGGUGUUUACGAUUACACACAGGGAAGAUAUCUUGCUGAUUUCUGCAAUAAGGAGUGUCCUUUCUUAGGAGUUAGAAUUCCAAAUCCAACUUGCAAAAAAAUUCCUAAUGAUAAUGUACCGGCAUGCAAUCCCAAAUGCGUUAAAACUGAUGGCAAAUGUUUGAAAAACGGUCGAUGUCUGUGUUGCCUGGGAUGGACUGGUCCCCAUGCGCAGUUUAUUCACUCAGGACACUAUAAAGGAAAGAUUGUUGCAGAUUAUUGUAAUGUGUAUUGUCCAUACACUUUGCACAGACAUAACAGUUUGUGCGUUGUACCCGAUUACAUCCACAGAAAAACAACUGGAAGUGGUGUUAAAAUAACAAAGUAACGAGAAAAAAAGAAAAGAAUGUAUUUUAAAUAUCUUAAUAUUGUAUUAAAGUCAGUUUUAGUGAUAAAUAUCUAUUUAUCGAUAUUAUUCUGGUGUUUGUACUUUUCUUUCACGUGUCCAUCUUUUUUUAAAUUGUGGUUAAUGUCUUCUACAAUCAGUUUUGUAGUGUAUAAAUGAACCGACGACAUUUGAAACAGUUUAAUAUUUUUUCUAGUGUGCCUUGCUAAAAUCAUUUUAGCCAUGCUAACUGUCCACAUUAUUUUCACUGCUAUAUAACGUCGUAACAUUCAUUACUGACUUGCAAGCUACAAAAUCUUGAGACAAUGCUAAUUUCUCAACUAUUUUAAAACGUCAGCAGGAAGCAUCAGCGAAUUC